AUGGCUACACCCUCCCCUAAAGAAGUCCUCACAGCACAGCCCCUCACCAUGGACUGGAACAGGAAAGCCCUCUACCUGGUGGCAGUGGGUAUAGCUCUGAGAAAUGAGCCCAGCCCAGGAUUAACAGGUGUCCCCAGUCCCUGCUCAGGACAGAACACAGACCACUCACCAUGGAGUUUUUUUCUCACCUGGGUUUUCCUUGUAGCUGUUUUAACAGGUGUCCAAAGUGAAGUGCAGCUGGUGGAGUCUGGGGGAGGCCUGGUGAAGCCUGGGGGGUCUCUGAGACUGUCCUGUGCAGCCUCUGGAUUCACCAUCAGUAGUAGGUACUGGAUGCACUGGGUCCGCCAGGCUUCUGGGAAGGGGCUGGAAUGGAUCUCAGCAAUUGCUGGUAGUAGCACAUACUAUGCGGACUCUGUGAAGGGCCGAUUCACCAUCUCCAGAGACAAUGGCAAGGACAAACUCUAUCUGCAAAUGAACAGCCUGAGACCUGAGGCUGAGGACCUGAGGACACGGCCAUGUAUUACUGUGGGAGUGACACAGUGA